CGCGGGAUGGAGGAAUGGCACCUCACCGGGCUCAUAAUCCGGGGGUCCUGGUUCGAGUCCAGGUCCCGCAACCA
rnacentral:tRNA from 1 species